AGUGGCGGACGGGUGAGUAACGCGUGAGAAUCUGCCUUGGGGUCGGGGACAACCACUGGAAACGGUGGCUAAUACCGGAUAAGCCGAUUGGUGAAAGAUUUAUUGCCCGAAGAGGAGCUCGCGUCUGAUUAGCUAGUUGGUGAGGUAAGAGCUCACCAAGGCAGCGAUCAGUAGCUGGUCUGAGAGGACGAUCAGCCACACUGGGACUGAGACACGGCCCAGACUCCUACGGGAGGCAGCAGUGGGGAAUUUUCCGCAAUGGGCGAAAGCCUGACGGAGCAAGACCGCGUGAGGGAGGAAGGCUCUUGGGUUGUAAACCUCUUUUCUCAGGGAAGAAGCUCUGACGGUACCUGAGGAAUCAGCCUCGGCUAACUCCGUGCCAGCAGCCGCGGUAAUACGGAGGAGGCAAGCGUUAUCCGGAAUUAUUGGGCGCAAAGCGUCCGCAGGUGGCGAUUCAAGUCUGCUGUCAAAGCACGGGGCUUAACUCCGUAAAGGCAGUGGAAACUGAAUAGCUAGAGUGCCGUAGGGGUAGAGGGAAUUCCCGGUGUAGCGGUGAAAUGCGUAGAGAUCGGGAAGAACAUCGGUGGCGAAAGCGCUCUACUGGACGGCAACUGACACUCAGGGACGAAAGCUAGGGGAGCGAAUGGGAUUAGAUACCCC
rnacentral:rRNA from 1 species